UGUUACUCACCCUCGUAGUUGUGGACGUAACUUGAUAUGUCCCACUUCAAAGCUUUCUCCCGUUUCCUGAUGGGUGCAGGUGAAAGUGCGUCGACCAUUCUGUGCACAUUGUUGACAUAUAGUAAUAAUAAAGCGAUGGACGGCGUCAGCGCGGGUAAAUAAACUCGGUUACAGAGCAGCCGCCCGCAACAGACGUUCUAACGUAAAGCAAACGCACCCUCAACAGGGCAGGGAUCAUUUCAUUGGUGAACACUACAGCUGACAUUCUAUUAGUUGGGGAAUUUUGAUAGGAUUAUAACCAUAGACUGUUAAUACAGUGUAUGAUUGUAACACAAAAAAAAUCCGCAGGAGAAAUCUGAGAGAAGAUUUGCAAGCGUGCAAAAGCAGCCAAAGUGCGAGAAGGGCCGAAGCUGAGAGCAGGAAAUCUGUACAAGUGUAGCAGAGUUAAUAAUUCCACUUGCCAUUAAAAGGUACAGAAAGCAUGAAGCAGACGAGGGAAUCCAAGGGAAGUCCAACAGACAUUAAAACAGGCAGCCUUGAUGCCCAGAACAGCAAAGCUGAUACAGACACACAGUUGAAGAACAGCCAGGACGAUCAUAGUAAUGUCCAUGGUUGUCAACAAGCGCUGACAUAGACAAGAAAUAAAGAAAGAGUAGGAACGAAUGAGCUUGGGGAUGAUGAGAGCCACAGACAGGGAAGAGAAGUUGGAAGGUCACACAUCCUGAUGGCAGGGGCAUCUGCCAGGUCUUUGGCAUUCAGCGCGAUGGCAACAAUAGCAAAGACAGAUCCGACUAUGUUCACAA